rnacentral:rRNA from 1 species
GACGAACGCUGGCGGCGUGCUUAACACAUGCAAGUCGAACGGAAAGGCCCUGCUUUUGUGGGGUGCUCGAGUGGCGAACGGGUGAGUAACACGUGAGUAACCUGCCCUUGACUUUGGGAUAACUUCAGGAAACUGGGGCUAAUACCGGAUAGGAGCUCCUGCUGCAUGGUGGGGGUUGGAAAGUUUCGGCGGUUGGGGAUGGACUCGCGGCUUAUCAGCUUGUUGGUGGGGUAGUGGCUUACCAAGGCUUUGACGGGUAGCCGGCCUGAGAGGGUGACCGGCCACAUUGGGACUGAGAUACGGCCCAGACUCCUACGGGAGGCAGCAGUGGGGAAUAUUGCACAAUGGGCGGAAGCCUGAUGCAGCAACGCCGCGUGCGGGAUGACGGCCUUCGGGUUGUAAACCGCUUUCGCCCGUGACGAAGCGUGAGUGACGGUAAUGGGUAAAGAAGCACCGGCUAACUACGUGCCAGCAGCCGCGGUGAUACGUAGGGUGCGAGCGUUGUCCGGAUUUAUUGGGCGUAAAGGGCUCGUAGGUGGUUGAUCGCGUCGGAAGUGUAAUCUUGGGGCUUAACCCUGAGCGUGCUUUCGAUACGGGUUGACUUGAGGAAGGUAGGGGAGAAUGGAAUUCCUGGUGGAGCGGUGGAAUGCGCAGAUAUCAGGAGGAACACCAGUGGCGAAGGCGGUUCUCUGGGCCUUUCCUGACGCUGAGGAGCGAAAGCGUGGGGAGCGAACAGGCUUAGAUACCCUGGUAGUCCACGCUGUAAACGGUGGGUACUAGGUGUGGGGUCCAUUCCACGGGUUCCGUGCCGUAGCUAACGCUUUAAGUACCCCGCCUGGGGAGUACGGCCGCAAGGCUAAAACUCAAAGGAAUUGACGGGGCCCCGCACAAGCGGCGGAGCAUGCGGAUUAAUUCGAUGCAACGCGUAGAACCUUACCUGGGUUUGACAUGGAUCGGGAGUGCUCAGAGAUGGGUGUGCCUCUUUUGGGGUCGGUUCACAGGUGGUGCAUGGCUGUCGUCAGCUCGUGUCGUGAGAUGUUGGGUUAAGUCCCGCAACGAGCGCAACCCUUGUUCACUGUUGCCAGCACGUUAUGGUGGGGACUCAGUGGAGACCGCCGGGGUCAACUCGGAGGAAGGUGGGGAUGACGUCAAGUCAUCAUGCCCCUUAUGUCCAGGGCUUCACGCAUGCUACAAUGGCUGGUACAGAGAGUGGCGAGCCUGUGAGGGUGAGCGAAUCUCGGAAAGCCGGUCUCAGUUCGGAUUGGGGUCUGCAACUCGACCUCAUGAAGUCGGAGUCGCUAGUAAUCGCAGAUCAGCAACGCUGCGGUGAAUACGUUCCCGGGGC